UACGUAGGGGCAAGCGUUGUCCGGAUUUAUUGGGCGUAAAGAGCGUGUAGGCGGUUUGGUAGGUCCGCUGUGAAAACUCGAGGCUCCAACCUCGAGACGCCGGUGGAAACCAUCAGGCUAGAGUCCGGAAGAGGAGAGUGGAAUUCCUGGUGUAGCGGUGAAAUGCGCAGAUAUCAGGAAGAACACCCGUGGCGAAGGCGGUUCUCUGGGACGGUACUGACGCUGAGACGCGAAAGCGUGGGGAGCGAACAGG
rnacentral:rRNA from 1 species